UCUCCUAGGGCCAAAUUGUCAGUGCUUUUGUCUUUGCCCACCUUGCACACUAAAAAUUAUGGUCUUGUUCUUCCAGGAGAGCUGACUGCACCCCUGCUGAGCUCUUCUCGGGAUCAGGCCUGCCAGGACUUCAUACAAGUCACCUCAAAUUAAAAUUCCUUGUCAGAAGAGAGCUCCAGAAAGGCAAUAUCAAAUCCAUCCAUUAUGAAGAUAAACACUUGGCAACAAAAUUAGCGAGGAGAUGGUAGCAGUCAAAUGGGAAGCGCAAUUCAGAGGAUCCUGGAGCAGACCACUCUUGGUUUUCACUUGCUUCCUCAAUCUGAAGAGCAAAUGAAAAUGUAACUGGUAAAGUGAAGUUCCUAGAAAGAAGCUUAAAUUCCAGAUGGCUGAUACCACCCAGGCACCAGCUGUGAGAAGGAGUGAAACCUUUGUCACGCAAUACCUAGGAACAGCCAAAAGUCAUUUGGGCACUGGAUUUGUUUUCCCUGGAGGCAAGAGCUCACAAGGCUUUGAGAGAAUCCAUGGCAGUCUCUAAAAGAUGGGUCUAGCAGCUUCCCAGAAUCUCAGAUCUGUUGGAGAUAUUCUUCCUUCCAUCUUUUGAAGUUGAGGAUACCAAGCACCUUCCCAAUCUGACCUCUGCAGCCAUUCGUAAGACCAGAAAUGAUGGACCCGAGAUGGGGAAGUAUUGGAACAAGCAUUGGAAAUGGCUUUCAGCCUCUCCUGUGAUCACGCUCCUGUUGUGCCCAGCUGCUGCUUUUUGUCCAGCUGUUCUUCAGGGCUUUAUUGUCUAUGUUGGCAUCCCAUGGUAAAAGGACUGGGGAAGGUAACUGCUAUGCUUCACAUACAAGAAACCGAGGGUGUUAAUGCAGACUUUGUCACUCCUGAGACAUGAACACCCAAAUGCGUGAUUCUGUUUUGUCUAAUGAAUGGGGGCGUGGAUCGUUAGCAGAGCACAGGUACCUCCACUUCUGGCUUACCCGUGACCUCUGCCAGCAGUGACCAAAAGCUGUGGUUACCCAACCACCCUCUG